rnacentral:rRNA from 1 species
UACGGAGGGGGCUAGCGUUGUUCGGAAUUAUUGGGCGUAAAGGGCUCGUAGGCGGUUUGUCGCGUCGGGAGUGAAAACACGGGGCUUAACCCCGUGCCUGCUUCCGAUACGGGCAGACUAGAGGUAUGCAGGGGAGAACGGAAUUCCUGGUGUAGCGGUGAAAUGCGCAGAUAUCAGGAGGAACACCGGUGGCGAAGGCGGUUCUCUGGGCAUUACCUGACGCUGAGGAGCGAAAGUGUGGGGAGCGAACAGG